CACGGCGCGCGUUUGCCGGGCACCUCUGCUUACACCGGCUUUACGAGGAUCCGACCGGGCAAUGCUUCAAACAUAGGAGAGCCCAUAACAACAGGAUAAUUCCAAGUUUGUCUUACCCGCAUAUUUUGCUGUGGAAGUGACCAAUUCCGAAAUGGUGGAUUCAAUACGUGUAGUGAAAAUGCGGAGUCAUCACCUGAAGCAGUGAUUGAGCACCUGGUGGGAAGGCAGAGCCAACCUAGGGCAGCUCAGGUGCAAGCAAUGCACUGAAUGCCUGGAAGGGAUGGAGCCAGCAUCCACCUCUUCUCAGAUCUCACUGAAGGGCUGGCAGUGGAGGUGAGGACAUCUCAUCUGGAGAUCCCUGCAUACCUGAGGACCUUGCAAGCCUUCUAAAGGUCUGCAGUAUUUCAAACUUAGAAACAUGCUACUGCUGCAUUUGUGGAAGCAUAUCACUCAAAACAUGCAAGUCUGAAAUGAGAGAGGAUUGCACCAGAAUAUCACUGCUGCUGCCUACCAGUCAAAAGUUGAUGAUGUGGAUGUAUCAGGUUAUUCCUGAUACAGGGAUGUAUGGGAACUGCUGAAUCACGGCCCGAACCUCUGACCACCUGAAUCAGCCCUGGGAUCACAGGUGAAGACAAUUCCCCUGCGCUACUGGAAGGGGGGGAGCCUGGCUGCACCGCUCCUAGACCCCAUUUAAGAACUGACUACCACUGGGGAAGGAUGUCUUUUGGAGAUUGCUCCUCUUGCAGUCUUCUCAGUGAGCCCAGGACAAAGGUAAGCAUUCCAUCCAUUCUUCUUUAGCGUGAUAACCUGUUUAGCCUAACUUUCCUGUAUAUUUCUUAAUUAUAGCAUCUGUAUGUUCACUGAUUACACAAGGGAUUGCUAUCUGAUUUCUCCAGAUUUGAUCACUGAUUGAUACACAUUUUAGUUAGCCAUCUAAAAAAGGAGGAGGAGGAUGUAGGGAUUUCUUUGUUGACCAGGACACUGUCAUGUAUUUAUUUUAAAGACAGGAAAAAAAUGCCUUGUUCUGCUGUUCUAAGUGAAAUUUUUGAGGUACGUCUUAGGAGGCUUAUUUACAUUAUUCAGUGUAGACUUGUAUGCUGUUUAAAAGGUACCAUUUUCUAACUAAGAGGGUAUCCAUGAAAUCUGAGAUACAGUGGGAAUAUUUUCCCUGAAUUCAGAAGAAUUGGGAUCUCAUCCUGAGUGCCACUCAUUUUUUACCCAUGUAAAAUGGUGCAUUCCUGACUGACUGAAGCUUAUUGUUAGGUAAGCAUUUAUUGUAAGAUUCUGUGCCCAAUGAGGUAAUGAUAUGAAGUUUUCAAAAUGAUUCCUUUCUUCCUGAUGCUCAUAAACAACACCUUAAAGGGCUUGGAGACAAAGUCUGCUGUUGUCUUCCUAUUCUUCUUGUAUAGAUAUAUAUAUAAUUUUUUUUUCCUAUCCCACAUAUGUUUUUACUGUUGAAUGUUGUUCAGGAGAGUUAUUGUAAGUGGAUCAAAUGAUUGAUUAAGCCACAGCUGGUUUUUAAAAAAUAUUUCUAAAAACUAAGCAUGCUUUUAAAAUAAAACAGGUGAAGAGCUCUAUGAACCUUGAAAACAAAUGUACGAAUUAGUGAAAAAAUGAUUAUUUUGCUUUUCCAUAUUAACUUUCAUAGUGUUUGGGUAGUAUUUCCUAGUUUAACAGAAAAUAAUAGAUAUUGCGUGUAUUGCUAAUCACCUGGUCACUGCUCCUUUUAAAAUGUUUUGACUGCAAGAAAUGAACAGAAGAUGUGUGCUAGGAGUGGUGGGCUCUAGGUUCUUGUGCUGUGGCUAUUAGCAAUUGGUUGUCUGACAAGCAAGCUUACGUUUUAUGAUGUUGUGAUAAUCUGUUGUUUUUAAGGUGCCAGAUUUGGCCCAAGAACAUGAGUGGGCAAUUUAUCCCAAUAGUUCCCAUAAUCAACUGUGAAAACCUCCAACUGUCAGGCUUUUUUUUCUACUUCGCUGCUCAUCACAAGCAAGAUGCCGUCACUAGUCAGAAAUCUUCCAGAUGGUACGUGCAGCUUUUUGGGGUCUGCCUGAUGAGAGUAGUAAAUGAUUAAGCACUCACGAAGGUAAGCAUCAGCUUGUGACUACUGCUCUCUUGAAUAAUAGAGCAAGAUGUGUUAUCAAGCCAACAAAGUGCCAGAAAAAAUGUAGGUAUGUGAAUCUCAAACACCACUUUACCUCAAAUAUCAUUUGAGCCUGCCACUUUACCACACUACACCAUGUGAAAUAUUCCCAAUGCUCUGCAAAGGGCCGUGGGAAGACUCAGGCACCACAAAUGACUGCACACAUCAUUAACUCACCUGAGGAGUUCCAGGGGUUUUGGUGGGACUAAGGGCAGAAGGUCGUGUAUCCCUAAGCUUUGCAUCCUCCAAUUUACCUUCAUGUUUGUGAGGACCAGGGAAGGAUUCUGAGGCUUGGGAGUGUCAUUUGAUCUUAUCCAGGCAAGCAUAAAGUGGUGUAGCCAGUGAACUGUUGAGUUUCUUCUGGAAAUGCUAUGCUUCAUAAGUUGCUCCUUUCUGAAUAAUCAGAGAAAUGUAUGUGCAUGGUGAAGAAUUAAAUAUUAACUUUUUAAAAAUCUCUGCUGUAAAUAGGCAGUGUCUCUGGAGCUGGUAUAUCCAGGCUAUAAAGCUUCUGGUUAGGACAUGGGAUAUCAGUUUUGCCAUUUUUUUUCUUUAGCUCUGCUUCCAGAAAUGUAGCUCAUGGGGGAGAGGGAGGAAGAUGCCUUUGUGUCCAUCUUAUCUGUUCUAACAAAGUGAAAGAAUUGAAGAGCAUAGCUGUCCACCUUUGCAGUGACCUCAGAGAGGUUCUCUACAGAGUGGGUCUGUAGGAGCAGCCCUAGAGCUCUGAAAGGCUGAUGACCAAAGAGGUAAAAGCUGUCAUGUGCAUACAUGAGGCCUUUCAGGAACAGUCAGACUGAAACAAUGAUGGUAUUAUCCUUGCAGACAGCACAAUCAAAUCUUAGCAAAAUAUAUUGUUUUAAAAUUUCUGCUCUCCUUUAUGUCAGGCCAGUUGUUAAAUAUUUCAUUUUUUUCAUACUGUUGGAUCAGCUGUUGAAAGCCUCCUAGGUGAGUGGUACCUGACCAAAAGUCUUUAACACGUGGUUGGGAACAUGCACACAUAAUCUGUAGCUUGUUCCUCUCCUGAUGUCAAUCUAUCUCUCUUACAUUUGUUAUUAAUUACACUGCCUAUUUAAGUAAUAGUACAGGGCUAUUUUUUUUUUUAUUUUUUUUUAUUUUUUUUUUUCCAGGAUUCCUGACAAAGGCUUCAUCUGAGUGUUUCACAGAAUCACAGAAACACCAAGGUUGGAAAAAACCUACAAGAUCAUCCACCUAUCACUAAUAGUUCUCACUAAACCACGUCCCCAGCACAAAAUCCAAACAUUCCUUGAAUACCUCCAGGGUCAAUGACUCCCACUUCCCUGGGCACCCAUUCCAGUGUCUGAUCAUUCUUUCAGAAAAGUGGUAUUUCCUAACGUCCAGCCUAAAUCUCCCCUGCUGCAGCUUGAAGCCAUUCCCUCUGGUCCUAUCACCAGUUGCACGAGAGAAGAGGACGACCCCCAGCUCACUACAACCUCCCUUCAGGAAGUUAUAGAGAGCAAUGAGGUCUCCCCUGAGCCUCCUCUUCUCCAGGCUGAACAUUCCCAGCUCCUUCAGCCUCUCCUCAUAAGCCCUGUGUUCCAGACCCCUCACCAGCUUCGUUGCCCUCCUUUGAACACGUUCCAGGGCCUCGAUGUCUUUCUUGCAGUGAGGGGCCCAAAACUGGACACAGCACUUGAGGUGGCCUCACCAGAGCUGAGUACAGGGGAUGAUCACUUCCCUGUUCUUGCUGGCAAUGCUGUUUCUGAUGCAAGCCAGGAUGCCAUUGGCUUUCUUGGCCACCUGGCUGAGAGUGUUCCUGUCCAAGCCAAUGGCUUCGAACUUCUCCAGGAGAAUACUGUGGGAGACAGUGCCAAAGGCUUUGCUGAAGUCUAGGUAGACCACAUCAACUGCCUUUCCCUUGUCAUUAGCUCCUAGAAGGAGAUCAGGUUGGUCAAGCAGGAAUCCUUUGUGAACCAUGCUGGCUAGGCCUGAUCCCCCAGUUGUCCUGUAUGUGCCAUGUGAUCUCCCUCAACACAAUCUGCUCUAUUUCUGAAUUCCUGAUGUAAACAUAUAUUAGUGCAUAAUGUACAUAGAUAUAUUCCUAUAUAAAUAUAUACAUAAGGAACGGUGUUUUUCUAUUAAAAACUGGAGAAAAUUGACUGUACAGGCAAAAAAUGUAAAAUUGAAGCAUGAUACCUGGUGGGGAAAGAUACCUGAUAGGUCUUGUGGAGUUUAAAGGCUAAAAAUGGCUUGAGGCUUUCUACAUAAGCACAGUAUGUGCAGUUCAGAAGGAAGAAUAUUUUCAAGUUUGGCUCCAAAUAUUGAAACUAAAUUUAGAGUGGGAUUUUUCAGAAAUCCUGGUGGAUUUAUAAACUACUUAAAUGCUAUCCAUAACCUCUGAUAGAAAGAAAGAAAGACAAAGUAAGAUUCCCUGAGCUGGUCAAUAAUUAAAUGUAUGUUUGAAGGGUUUUUUCCUCUGCCUGGCUAAAUACACAUUUAAGUUGAAAGUUACAUUAUCUUGUAUAACAAAAGGCUGUGGUUCAGUCCAAUCUCAAAUUAUGUGCAGGAUGGCUGCAGCAUAGGUCACCUUAAUACAGCUGGUUUAUAGGCAGUGAUGUGCGAGUGCUCUUUGCUCACCUUGAAGAAAUGCUGCCUAUGAAUUGUAAAAUACUAGAGCACUCUUCUUGUUUGCUGAUUCCACUAACAAAAUUGCAUGGUAUAAUUGAAGGACGGGAUUGGUUGAUUGGGAUCACGUUUUCCCUUUGCUUUAUACACAAGAUAUAUGCCAUCAUGAGCUGCUUCACUGAGGGCUAUCUUGGAGUAUUGUUUAGACAGUGAUGUCUGGAUGCAAGAAUUGGCAGAGGGGGGCUGAGAAGAAAAAGGGAUGUAUACUACAGGGAUGGUUAUGCACUCUUGCUGUUAUCUAGAGGAACAGAAAUUGAGAAUUGUGUCUAACCUUUUUUAGUAUGUGGCUAAUAUGGAGGAGAGCAUUCUUCACAUUGCUACUGUGGUCAGCACAUCCAGUGUUGUGGGGUGGGAGAAAAAUCAGUGUGGAUACCAGGAUUUUCUUUUCUUAAGGCAUUUUGAUUUAUUUCAAUUUUGAAGCAGAAUAUCCAUAACUUGAUUUGAAAAGUUUCGCUUUGGAAAAAAACCCACCAUCAUCCCUUGUUCCUAUUGCCCCUUUCAAAAUACUUGAACAUAUUGUAGUAGGAGGCCAUUCCAAAUGAGAAAUUAAAACACCUUAUUUUGGAAUCUCGGUCUUCCCAGAGUACUGAGUUUAAAAUUAUUUUUUCUCUAAAAUCAUUUCAUUGAAAAGGCCUUAUUUCUACUUAUUUACUCGUUUGAUAGAUAAGCCUUAAUGUCCGCACUUUUCUCUGAAUUAAUUUUGUUUUAAGCUAUUCUCAAAGCCCCAGUAAAUAUUAUCUGAGGUUUCAGUGAUAUUGCAAGACUCAUCCUGUUUCUGACCACAUCUGUGGAGCUAAAAGGCUUCACUUGCACCAAAUUAUCACCAUUACUGACUAUGCAGCCAAGCUUGCAGUGCUUGUAUCAGUAGCCACACUGGCUGUAUUUCAGACCAUUGCUCUUUGAAGCACUUGACUUUUUUUAAGACUUUAAAUCACUCCUAAAUUUUCUUGAGUCUAAUUCUCAAUUACCCAAUUGCUCCAAAAAGGAUUAGGCUUUACAUUUUUCUGAAAACACUUCAAUACUUUAACCCACGCAAUUUUAAGUAAAUGUACCUAUCGUUCCUUUUGCUUUGUUGAGUGUUCCAAUCACUUACAUUUGUCAUAUCUGACAAAUCUCCUGCAAAAUGAUCACCACUAAAUGAUGAAAGUAAAAAAAAGAAAAAACCAAAACAAAACAGUUUUGAAAAGGAACCCAUUUAAAUAUAGAUACUAUAAAAUAUAAAAAACCAAGCACUGGCUAAAGCGGUGUUUUGAUGUACUUCUGUAACUGCUGAUGCUGAAAGCCUGCUGAUUUUUAAUUUUUUUUUUUUUUAUUCUUACUGUGGUGGUCUUUAGAAGAACUAAACAUCUGUGGUUUCUUAGCAUCAUUUCAUAAAAAAGUAUUCAUGAAAACGAGAACUUCAUUUUUUUUUAAUGUAGAUUUGAUUAGGUAGAGAUAAAUACUUUCAAAAAAAAAAGAGAAAAAAUCAUUAAAGACUGAUCUUUAUGCCUUAUGAGAACACGAAUAUUCACUUUCUGCUGUCUCUUCUGAUUUUGAUUUAGUGGGGUUUUGAUUGUUUUAAUACAUGUAAAAUGUAAGUGUGGUGAAUCUUACUUUUCUUGUCUGCUGCCUUCAUUUGCAUAGCCAAGAAAUAGCUGUUGCUGCUCCUUAAGCUUCUGGCAUGCUCUCGUGUUGGCAAGAUAUAUGGAUUUGUGAAUCUCUCUUCCAGUGGCACUUGCAUUUGUAUACCAAGUAAAUAAGUACACUUCCACAACAGCAACUGAUUAUUUCCCUGGUGCCAAAGCCUACCUGAUUUUAAGUAAAUGGAAUGCAAGAUUAAUGCUUGGAUAUGUCUUAUGUAUUAUUAAAAAACAAAAACGCAAUGUUUCUUGUUUGCUGUUACAGUUCUACUAAGUAGUUAUAGCACUUAGAGUAACAGACCCACAGAAUCGCCAAGGUUGGAAAAGAUCUGAGAUCAUGCAGUCCAACCACCCAUCUAUCACCAGUAUCUUCCCACUCAUCUCAGUACAGCAUCUAGAUGUUCCUUGAAUACCUCCAGUGUCAGUGACUCCACCACCUCCCUGUGCAGCCCAUUCCAGCGCCUGAUUGCUCUUUCAGAGAAGUUUUUUCUAACAUCCUGAAUCUCCCUUCUGUGCAACUUGAGGCCAUUCCCUCUAGCCCUGUUGCCAGUUACACAGGAGAUCAGAACUAAUACUUUGGAUUUGAGUUCAUAUCUAGAGCCAGAGAUUUGGGUUGCUUCUCUUCCUUCAACUGUUGACUCUAAAAUUUGUUAACUGUUGUCAGCAUGCUAAAUGCUUUCUUGAGAUCUUGCUUAAUGCCAUCACUUCUUAAAAUCCUACAACUUGCUAGAACUGGAAUUUCAGAAAUACUGGCUAAAACAUCUCAACAAGUUAAACAUUUAUUAAAAUCAGAGUAGGUGGACUUAGUUGACUUACUGCCAGCUGCAGUGACUGUUACAUGUUGAAGAUGAGCAGUACAGUAGGUGCCAGGAAUCUGUGGAGUCUGAACAGUUUUAUUUCAGCUAUUCAGUAGUGCCAUGUCCUCUGUGUCUGUAUGUGCACAUUAGGACAGUAUUUACUUCUUUCAAAGAAGAUGAUUUAUUUUCUUCGAGUUUGGGGAUUGUAAGCAUGAAGGAUGAUGAGCUGCACCUAUGCAUGCGCACAUUAAAUUGCUCACAGCCACUUAACAGGGGUUGUUUUGAGUGAUGCAACUUUCGGGAAAGUAUUUUUCAGUUUGUGAACAGAGUAGAAUUUUGAACCACCAAAAAUCCAGUAUUCUUGGUCAGAUUUCAAAAUCGUACUCUUACUAUGCUUUUCAUGAACAACUGUCUCUCCCUCCUCCUCUCUUCUGCACAGACUGCUGUUGGCAUUGACAUCUCUGAAACAGGGAACUUGAAACUUCCUUCUGGUAAUGUUAUGAUUCCAAUUACAUCUGUUACACAACAUAAAUGCCUAAAAAUACCAAUUCUCAAAUUGUUUUUUCUUAGGCAAACUUGAGAACAUCAGCAGUGAACAGUGAGUGCUUCUAGAAUGCGAAGUUCAAAUGCUUAUACUAUCCUACUUUUUAAUUAUCUCCUUUUCAAAGCCCUAGUGUGUGUAUCAAGGUACCGUCUGAAUUCUUUUUUUAAACUCAAUGGUUUUAUGUACUGCUUUUCUUUAAAGGGGAUAACAUUAUCCGAGGCACUGUUGUGUUCUUAACCACUAUAUUCAAUAAAAAACUCAAUGACUCUUAAAAAUUAACUUUCUUCCUUUGCACCUUUUAGCAUAUGCUGGCUCUUCCUGGAUGUUAGAGCAAACAACUUUAUGUACGUUUUUAUAGCUUUGAGCUCUCCAUAACCCUCCUUCAGAUUCUCAUUUAGCCAUCCAUGUUCUCUAUAGCCUGUGAUGAUACUUCUUAGAUUCCACAGGUAUUGCCAAGCUUUUCUUUCUGUAAUUUUUCUUGUAUAUUUUUCUUCUAUAUUUUUACCAUCCUUUAAUACUUAAAAAUUGUUUGCUUUCAAAUGCAAUUUUGUUUCUUUUUUUGCUGUAUUUUUUUCUCCUAGACUACUGUUCUUUGCAGGAAAAGAACAAACUGCUGUUUGAAUCUGUCCAACUGCCUUCAGCUUUAUCAGUUUCAAUUCACUUUCUACCUUCAGAAGAGGAGAGUAGAGCUAAAAUUCUCAAGAGAACUGCAAGCUGAAGAAAAAGUGGUACUAGUAAACUAUGACUUACAAAAUACUAGGUGUGUAAUCACUGUGAAGUCUUGCUGUAAGGACCUUUUGAGAACAGAAUGCUAUAGGAAAAACUCAUGAAAACAGUUUAGGAUGUUCAACCAGCAGAUGAGAUGAGACUCCAGUGCCAAUGGGGUGUUACGAAUAGAAGUUUUUGUGAAGGUGUUUGUUUUUAUCACAGUAAAUAUUCAGUAAAAAAAUGUUUUCAUUCUAAUAUUCCUGAUCAAUAUAUGUUUGACAGCAGAAAAGACUGUACUAGUGUCAAAAAACUAUAUGGAUUGUAAUAUCAGUUAGAAAUUUGCCUCCUAAAAUGAGUAGUCAUUUCAGAAAACAUUGUCCUAGUUAAGAAUUAAAGUCUUCAUUAUUCAUUCUUACUUUCAUUCCUUCCUCGCUCCAAGUGGAGGCUAAUUUUAAAUAUUCCUUUUUCUAAAAAGAUGACCUGCUUAGAAAGUGAUACAGGCCAGGCACUUUGAGAAUCCAAACAAACAGUGUGAAUGAGAGCUAGAUUUUUAAUUCAUAGAAAUUCUUCUCAGUGCCCUAUAGCUGCCUGGUGAUGUUCAAAGAUAUAUCUAUAUAUCUAUAUACACACAUUUGUAAAUAAAUCAGGAUUAAAAAGGAGCGAAGGCUAUGAUAGACUGAGGGGCUCACAGAGCUUGGAUUAGAUUAAUAAAUUAUCAUUCUUACACAACAACAGCAUUGCUUUCUAUCUUCAAUAAUGCGUAACAGAUAUCUAGGGUCAGAUGCAUUUGUAACUGUAAGGCUCAAAGGCUUGAAACAAAGAUGUAUCUCAGCCUUUGUGUUUAGUACCAAAACAGAAUAAAAAUACUGCUUUUAUUAAAAAAAAAAAAAAGAGUAAAUGAAAUUAAUUCCAUAAAAUACACCUGCAUUUAUAUAGCCUUUUCUCACUGACAAAGGAUCUGAAAGUGAUUUCCUUAUAGUCAUAUAAAAUUACGAACUCUAUUUCUGAUUAUUUCUGCUUAAACGCGUCUUUUAAUCACCAGAACUCCAGGCUACUUUGUGUUAACUAUGCCCUAUUCCAAUCUCCAGCCUUACAAAUUAUGAACUACAUUUGUUGCCUCCCUACUGUGCUGGCUGAAUCCUACUCAAAAGAGUAAUCUCCCCAAAUUCAGAGGAGCUGCUCACGUAACUCUUCAGCAGCACAUUAAAAUACUGUAGAGCUUGCACCUACGCAUCUGAGACGAUCCACGUCAGUUAUCCUGCCUCUAUGGCUUCUUCCUGUAAAUUCAGGAGACCAUAAUGCCACCCUACCAGAAGAAUAUUUACUCGUUUGGCAUCUGCAACCUAGCAGGAAAAUUAAACAACUCACUAAGAGGGAUGCCUCCCUGAAAGAGGGAGGUCUGUCUCAGGAGCGUGUGUCAGUCCUCAUGCUUUGUGAAGAGCAUCUUGUUUUCUUUCCUUGAUGAGCCAGAGAACAGCGUAAUCUGCCUGGUAGCUGUAUGAAAAGCUUAUCUAGUUCAUUUUGUAUUCAUCUGAAGUUGAUCCGCUUAAUUAUUUCUUCCAUUAAACAGCCCAGUGCUGCAUUUUCCUGUUGGAAUAAGCGUCUGUAUUACAGGAGGAAGAUUUUAUGCUCAGAGGAGCUGGGAUUAGAAGAACAAUCACUCUGCUAUCAGAGAUUUGUGUUUGGAGGCCGAUUGCUUUGGAGCACAUAGGAAAAUUUCUGCGUUGAUGCGCAUCUGUGUUGUGACAUAAUUUCAAGCUCUGGCAUGGCAGCAGAUAUUCUAGUCCACAGAAUGAGAACUGCUGGUUUGGGAUAAAGCAGACAUGUAGCGCUAUUAAAAAUCACAAGGAAGCACACGGCAAAGUAGGCCAAGGUAACUGCUUAUAGCUGACUUCAUGGGCUGUGGUGUGCAGCGCUCUCUUGAAACAGAGCAUUUGGGGGCAGAGGAGGGAUUGAUGCAUUCUUUUCUGUUACUGCAGCGAAUUCCAUUAGACCAUAAUAAAACGGAGAAUAAGGGAAAGGAAAGGCUUUGAGAUCUCUGGCUCUCCAAUGUACCGAGAUACAAGCACUCUUCACAAGUAUGGCAAACUUGUCACGGGUAGUUGUGCGGAGCUUCCCUCUCUCCAGUGCUACCUUGGUUUUUCUCUCCUGCGCUCUACUCUCCAUUCAUCUGCACCUCGUGAAAUUGCCUGGCAUUUGUCUGCUUUGCAGUUAUGACCAUCUGAAACAAGGCACUCACAGAUUAAAUGACUGAGAACUCGCUAGAGUUGAUGCAGUUUCUGUUUGCAACCACAAACUGCCCAGUGGUGCUCAGAACUUUGCUCAAUGUUACUUCAAAAAUGCACGAGUCCUGCCCAGUACUGCUUUGGAGCACAGCCACGUCAGUAUUUACUUUAGCAGCUUCGCUGAGCAGCCAGUUGGAUUCAGCUUCUGCUGUCAGUCUGGAGAUAUCCUAGCUGCACAGACAAGGAAAUGUGCUGAAAGCUGGUUUCUUAUGUGACGCUCGGAAGGUUUCCCAUCAUUUUUACUUGGCUAUAACCUUUGACACUUUGGAAAUAUUAAUUAGCAAGCUGAGUUCUCCAUACUUUUUUUUUCCAAGACUGUUAUCUCAAAAUUCAGAUCAGCCAAAAUUGGAUCGUGUCUCCUUGUGCGACUCGGUUGCUUCAGAAAGUUCUCUGUUAACUGAAAACCCAGUGACAAGUCAGCUUAUGUGUUUUGUUUGGAUAAAUACGUUUAUGCUUCCUGUGAGAAUUCAUAUUAGUAGGCACUAAUAAAUGCUUCCUGGUUCAGGCCUGAAGCCUUUAAUUUCAGACACUACAGAGAACCUGAGUACAUGCUGUACUCCACCCAUUUUGGAGGAAAAUGAGUAAAAAACCAAAUGACAUAAAACUUAUCUUUUGUACACUUAAAGCACUGACUUUGAGCACCUCAUCUCAUGGCAACUCCACUGUGAAGGCACAUUCAAGGUCCAGGUGAUUAUAAACUGCAAACACUGAACUUGGUUGUGACACUCAAUGCUGUUGAAAGCCAGGUUUCAUUUGGGGUGUCUGUGACUUGCUUUGUCAGAUUCUUACUUUUCCUUUUUCAUUGGAGAGCGGUAAGCUUCCAUAGCAAAGUCAGGCUCAGCCUUCUCUACCACCAAUGUUCAUGCCCCUGCCUGCUAUCCUCAGGAGAGUGAGCAGCUAAUGCUGCUGCUGAAGUUCCCUCCUAGAGUGAAGAGGUUUAUGUGGUGGGUGCACAGCACACCCCAUAUAAAGAUAGGCAAUGCUGAGUAAGAAAACUGUAAGUAUGCUUAAAACAAGAGCAAUAUCUAAUUUCAAAAAGACAUCGCAAAGAACAACAACAAAAUAAUUUAAUCCUCUCAAUCUGUAAUAUGCCAGCAGACCACAGAGAUGCGAGGUGAGAGUCUCUGUUCAGGACUGUAACUCCGUCAGGACAUACUGAACUGUUAAACAGUGUCUUACCGUCAGUUAUAUAUAGGCUUAAAUGCUUUCCUGAAGUGAAGUCUAAGAAACAUACACCUUGAUCUUACUAGUUGUAAUGUUGGGUUUGUUUGGCUCUCAAUCAUGCUCUCCAUUUGAGUAUGAUUUGAUCUUUCAAAAGAUCAACUGAAAUUUGAUCAAAUUUCAAAUCAAUUUUCAAAUGAAAUAUUUGCUGACCCUUGGCAUCAGCAGCUUUCCCUUUGUGGAUUUCUGUAGUGCAUCAUUCUUGCUGAAAGUCUGUUCUCCAUAGGGUCUGCAUUAUUAAUUUCUAUUUGCUUUACUAAGAGGCUGGCUCAUGCAUUAAGAAUGCUUUUUUUUCCAGGAGUAAAAUUUGUGGUCUUGUACCUAAUCCCAAGUGGGAUUCCUUCAUUGAACUUCAAGAUGUAAUACAGACAUAUUUCACAAGUUUCCCUUUUCCCUACAUAAGAAAUCUGUGCCAAUCAAGGACUUAAUCCAAUCAAUUACAUUUUUUUCUUCUAUGGAAUGUGUACUGAGGUGUGGCUGUAAUUUAUUUUUUUCUGUCUCUUGAGUUUUGUAAGUCGCUUCUGUUUUGGACAGUAUUGUCUGAACUCAGCUUGCCUGGAUUAUAGAUGAGCUGUUAUCUGACUUUAUAUGAAAGCACCCUUUUAAAGCACUAAAGAAUGCUACAUGAGAAAAUCUAAAUCUGUAGUUCUGAUAAGUAUACUGUAAUUUGUGGGGAAAUAAUGGAAAACAAAGAAAAACAAGCAAAGUAAGAAAAGCAGUGUUUCCUCAGUAAAUUUUAGAUUGAGUGAGACUUAGAGGAAGGCUUUCUAUUAUUCCAUGACUUUUCUAUCCUAUUAGAAGAGAAAUAUAAGGCAUUCUUUUAAUACAGCCAAAGAAUGAGAAAUGAAGACUGAAAUUGUACUGUCAGCUUCUGUGGAUUAAGGUCAAAUCUCAAGAAAAAUAGAGAACAGAGUAUCUUCAUUCAUAAACUGAUAAGUGAAUUUUAGUUACAAUCAAGUAAUGGAAAUAAAAUAAGAAAACAAGAAUUUAAAUUAAAAAAAAAAAAAAAA